UACGAAGGGGGCUAGCGUUGCUCGGAAUCACUGGGGGUAAAGGGUGCGUAGGCGGGUUUUUAAGUCAGAGGUGAAAUCCUGGAGCUCAACUCCAGAACUGCCUUUGAUACUGAAAGUCUUGAGUAUGGGAGAGGUGAGUGGAACUGCGAGUGUAGAGGUGAAAUUCGUAGAUAUUCGCAAGAACACCAGUGGCGAAGGCGGCUCACUGGCCCAUAACUGACGCUGGGGCACGAAAGCGUGGGGAGCAAACAGG
rnacentral:rRNA from 1 species